GAUGAACGCUGGCGGCGUGCCUAAUACAUGCAAGUCGAGCGAACAGACGAGAGUGCUUGCACUCGCUGACGUUAGCGGCGGACGGGUGAGUAACACGUGGGUAACCUACCUAUAAGACUGGGAUAACGUCGGGAAACCGGAGCUAAUACCGGAUAAUAUUUAUCUUCGCAUGAAGCAAUAGUGAAAGACCGUUCUGCUGUCACUUAUAGAUGGACCCGCGGUGUAUUAGCUAGUUGGUGAGGUAACGGCUCACCAAGGCAACGAUACAUAGCCGACCUGAGAGGGUGAUCGGCCACACUGGGACUGAGACACGGCCCAGGCUCCUAAGGGAGGCAGCAGUAGGGAAUCUUACGCAAUGGACGAAAGUCUGACGGAGCAAUGCCGAGUGAGUGAAGACGGUUUUCGGAUCGUAAAACUCUGUUGUAAGGGAAGAACAAGUACGUCAGUAACUGAACGUACCUUGACGGUACCUGAUAAGAAAGCCACGGCUAACUACGUG
rnacentral:rRNA from 1 species